rnacentral:lncRNA from 1 species
CCCUUGCCGCGGUCAUCGCUCGGCUCGUCUCUGUGUGUACCUGUACCCCAAAACCACAUGGGGUGAGAACUAUAUAAAUAUAGUUCCCAGUGGGUUCGGCCGCCGACGCCGCCGGUUUUCCCACUAGGUCUAAGCUGGCACAGAUAGAGAGAUAGAUAGAUAUGUAAAGAGAUAAACUGCAACUACUCUAUCAUGCCAUCAAUGAUGAUAAUGCAUGCAACAACUACUAUCAUGCCAAAAUCAUGUCAUGAGUAUAUAAAAGUACAUAACAAUGCAAUCUACAACAUACACUAUGUCUACUUGAGGUAAUAAUGCAAGUCUACUAUGCAUCUCAUGGCAUAAAUGCAAUCCACUUAUUCUAUUCAUGUUACAACCCAAUCGACUAGGCCAACUUGCCUAAGAUCUCAAAUCUCAAAGGUCGUAGACAAAGAGCUACCCCGCUCCUUUCCCGACUCAACCUCGAAGGUCCUAGGCAAAGAGCUACCCCGCUCCUCGCCCGACUCAAUCUCGCUCUACUAGGUACGAGCUGCUACAUAGUAAUGGAAUAUACACAUGCUACUAUGCCUCUGUAAUCAUGGAAUGUAUGAACAUAGCAAUGAUAUUCUACUAAUCAUGAUACUAUGCUUCAACAACAAUAGAAAUGAGCUACUACAUAGUGAUGUAUCUACAACA